GUCUCAAAAGACGUGGCUAAUCACAAAUUUUUUUUAUCCCCCAGUAUAAUGGAUUACAAAGACUUGGAUCUCUCGAACUGCCCAAGUUGUACUCCUAGUUAUCGGCUAUUGCCAGAAAAUUGCCGUGUACCUGUCUCUAGCCAUAGAACUGAACUUGACAAAUCCGUUCUAAAUGAUGUUUGGGUUUCAGUAACAUCUGGAACUGAAGAUUAUUCUUUGGCUAGUAACAACCUGUUGAGCGACAUAAAACUCUCAAAGGCGCCCUGGUUCAUGUAAGAGUGCAGGCUUAUGCUCAGAGAGCUGAUGAAUGGUCUCCAUUUGCGGAACAAGCUACACCACUCCCAUGGAGCACCUCCAACCGAACGGCAAAUAUGCGUAUGGCAUCGUUCGGUAGCUCCAGCCGAAUGCCAAAUCUUCCGCUAUUUGCUUGCGGAUGAACAGUACGACGCCAAUAUUGGCGUUGCAGUGUUCACAUACGCGAUUUUUUCUGUCUUAACCCGAUUUGCCGAAGAAACGUACGAAAGAGGAGAAAGACAGUUACCUUGGCAGAAGUGCGCAAAAUGGAGUUCGAUUUGAGAUGAAUCACAACUUUUUUAAGUUUCACUGCAUUUUGGAGUGAAAAAGGAGACUUUUCGAUUGGAGAUGCUCUUAGUGGACAACACUGCUGGUCCUGAUACCAGAGCUAAUAUGGUCAUCAAGUCAGGUUAAGAACUACGGAGAAAGCUAAACCUGUUGUUUAAAUCUUCAGAUCCAUUUGUGUUAAAUGUAAGUUGAAUGAAUUAGUAAGAGCAAUUUCUGUGGACAUGAUAGAGUUGAGUCUAUGGUUGAAAUUUAUAGUGUUUGUAGUAGUUAUAUAUCUUAUUCAAAAUUGACAUCAAUGUAAAUAAAUAAUUUGUUGCUAUGUGGAUGACAACAGUAGAGUUUUUCUUUA